AAAGUUUGUUGAAUGAACAAAUUAAUGAAAGGAAGACUAUGUAUGCGGAGAGGCCUGUGGUUUUGGGUUACUGUUUUAGGUCCCCUGUGAUUGGAGCAACACACACACUGUCAAGCGCAGGGCCUCGUCCACAGAGCUCGCCAGAACACAAGGAGCACUGUGCAGAGCUUUCAACGGCGGAACGGCGAGGGACAUAAUGCGUUUCAGUAGACAACAAAAAUAAGAAAAGGAGCCCAACGUCAAACUUAACAUGAUCGCUUCAAUUUCCAAGUGCUUUUGGGUCUUUUCAUGUUGGCUUCAUGGGAAUUCAUGCUUGUGGAGAAGACUGUGUUUGCUA